rnacentral:rRNA from 1 species
GAUGAACGCUGGCGGCGUGCUUAACACAUGCAAGUCGAACGGGAUCCCGGGGGUUCGCUUCCGGGUGAGAGUGGCGAACGGGUGAGUAAUGCGUGACCGACCUGCCCCAUACACCGGAAUAGCUCCUGGAAACGGGUGGUAAUGCCGGAUGCUCCGGUUGGAUGCAUGUCCUUCCGGGAAAGAUUCUAUCGGUAUGGGAUGGGGUCGCGUCCUAUCAGCUUGAUGGCGGGGUGACGGCCCACCAUGGCUUCGACGGGUAGCCGGCCUGAGAGGGCGACCGGCCACAUUGGGACUGAGAUACGGCCCAGACUCCUACGGGAGGCAGCAGUGGGGAAUAUUGCACAAUGGGCGCAAGCCUGAUGCAGCGACGCCGCGUGCGGGAUGGAGGCCUUCGGGUUGUAAACCGCUUUUGAUCGGGAGCAAGCCCUUCGGGGUGA